AUCAAAAGUCGAAAUGAAAACAUCACGCAAU
rnacentral:sRNA from 1 species